CCCUUAGAUGUCCUGGGCCGCACGCGCGUUACACUGAUGCAUUCAACGAGCUUAUAACCUUGGCCGAGAGGCCUGGGCAAUCUUGUUAACGUGCAUCGUGAUAGGGAUAGAUUAUUGAAAUUAUUAAUCUUGAACGAGGAAUUCCUAGUAAACGCAGAUCAUCAAUCUGCAUUGAUUACGUCCCUGCCCUUUGUACACACCGCCCGUCGCACCUACCGAUUGGAUGGUCCGGUGAAGCCUCGGGAUUGUGGUUCUUGCCGCUUUAUUGUGGCGUGACCGCGAGAACUUGUCUAAACCUUAUCAUCUAGAGGAAGGAGAAGUCGUANCA
rnacentral:rRNA from 1 species